rnacentral:sRNA from 2 species
CGAGCACCUCGUUCGGUGAGGCGUCGUCACGGACACAGGCCACUGAUCCCACCCGUCGAGAGACGCUCCGGAUCAGGACAGGUCUCCCCGGCCCAAGGGGUGACCCCAAGUGGCUGCCCGCACACAGGGCUACGCCGUGACGUGCCAAAGCUCUGACGAGUAGGGGUGAACC